GCUUACGGCCACACCGCCUGGUUCCACGCCCGAUCUCGUUUGAUCUCGGAAGCUAAGGUAGGUUGGGCCUGGUUAGUACUUGGAUGGGAGACCGCCUGGGAAUACCAGGUGCUGUAAGCU
ensembl:rRNA 5S_rRNA 5S ribosomal RNA